UACGGGGGGGGGCAAGCGUUGUUCGGAAUUACUGGGCGUAAAGGGCUCGUAGGCGGCCAACUAAGUCGGACGUGAAAUCCCUCGGCUUAACCGGGGAACUGCGUCCGAUACUGGAUGGCUUGAGUUCGGGAGAGGGAUGCGGAAUUCCAGGUGUAGCGGUGAAAUGCGUAGAUAUCUGGAGGAACACCGGUGGCGAAGGCGGCAUCCUGGACCGACAUUGACGCUGAGGAGCGAAAGCCAGGGGAGCAAACGGGG
rnacentral:rRNA from 1 species